rnacentral:rRNA from 1 species
CAGGCUUAACACAUGCAAGUCGAGGGGCAGCAUGGUCUUAGCUUGCUAAGGCCGAUGGCGACCGGCGCACGGGUGAGUAACGCGUAUCCAACCUGCCUUACACUCUUGGACAGCCUUCUGAAAGGGAGAUUAAUACAAGAUGUUAUCAUGAGUAAGCAUUUUCGCAUGAUUAAAGGUUUACCGGUGUAAGAUGGGGAUGCGUUCCAUUAGAUAGUAGGCGGGGUAACGGCCCACCUAGUCUUCGAUGGAUAGGGGUUCUGAGAGGAAGGUCCCCCACAUUGGAACUGAGACACGGUCCAAACUCCUACGGGAGGCAGCAGUGAGGAAUAUUGGUCAAUGGACGAGAGUCUGAACCAGCCAAGUAGCGUGAAGGAUGAAGGUUCUAUGGAUUGUAAACUUCUUUUAUACGGGAAUAAACGAAUCCACGUGUGGAUUUUUGCAUGUACCGUAUGAAUAAGGAUCGGCUAACUCCGUGCCAGCAGCCGCGGUAAUACGGAGGAUCCGAGCGUUAUCCGGAUUUAUUGGGUUUAAAGGGAGCGUAGAUGGGUUGUUAAGUCAGUUGUGAAAGUUUGCGGCUCAACCGUAAAAUUGCAAUUGAUACUGGCAGUCUUGAGUACAGUUGAGGUAGGCGGAAUUCGUGGUGUAGCGGUGAAAUGCUUAGAUAUCACGAAGAACUCCGAUUGCGAAGGCAGCUUACUAACCUGUAACUGACAUUGAUGCUCGAAAGUGUGGGUAUCAAACAGGAUUAGAUACCCUGGUAGUCCACACGGUAAACGAUGAAUACUCGCUGUAGGCGAUAUACAGUCUGCGGCCAAGCGAAAGCAUUAAGUAUUCCACCUGGGGAGUACGCCGGCAACGGUGAAACUCAAAGGAAUUGACGGGGGCCCGCACAAGCGGAGGAACAUGUGGUUUAAUUCGAUGAUACGCGAGGAACCUUACCCGGGCUUAAAUUGCAACCGAAUAUGGCGGAAACGCUAUAGCUAGCAAUAGCGGUUGUGAAGGUGCUGCAUGGUUGUCGUCAGCUCGUGCCGUGAGGUGUCGGCUUAAGUGCCAUAACGAGCGCAACCCUUGCCGAUAGUUACUAACAGGUCAUGCUGAGGACUCUGUCGGGACUGCCAUCGUAAGAUGUGAGGAAGGUGGGGAUGACGUCAAAUCAGCACGGCCCUUACGUCCGGGGCUACACACGUGUUACAAUGGGGGGUACAGAGGGCUGCUACCACGCAAGUGGAUGCCAAUCCCAAAAACCUCUCUCAGUUCGGAUUGAAGUCUGCAACCCGACUUCAUGAAGCUGGAUUCGCUAGUAAUCGCGCAUCAGCCACGGCGCGGUGAAUACGUUCCCGGGCCUUGUACACACCGCCCGUCAAGCCAUGGGAGCCGGGGGUACCUGAAGUGCGUAACCGCAAGGAGCGCCCUAGGGUAAAACUGGUGACUGGG